CAGCCGCCACGGUAAAACGUAGGUGGCAAGCGUUGUCCGGAAUUAUUGGGCGUAAAGGGCUCGCAGGCGGUUUCUUAAGUCUGAUGUGAAAGCCCCCGGCUCAACCGGGGAGGGUCAUUGGAAACUGGGAAACUUGAGUGCAGAAGAGGAGAGUGGAAUUCCACGUGUAGCGGUGAAAUGCGUAGAGAUGUGGAGGAACACCAGUGGCGAAGGCGACUCUCUGGUCUGUAACUGACGCUGAGGAGCGAAAGCGUGGGGAGCGAACAGGAUUAGAGACCCCGGUAGUCCCUGUCUCUUAUAC
rnacentral:rRNA from 1 species